GCUUUCAAUUGCUUCUUUAGCUGCCUAAUACUUAAAUCAUUCAAGCUCUCUUUCUUUCUAAUUUUUCCUUCAUCCACUUUGUUCUCUUUGUCAUCUGAAACAACGUUAAACGUGUUCUCGGAUGGGUGUUGGGUCAGGCCAGAGCCCGCAUCAGUGUUUUCCGUAAAGAACUCAGGCUUCUUAUCUUCAACUUCCUCAGACAUUUCAACUUCCUCAGUCAUUUUCUUAAAGGGUGUAGCUUUCUUGAAUGGUGUCGGGUGGCCCGUAACUUCACUUAAGAUUGAUGGGUUUUGAGUUGGGCCGGAAUCCUCAGUCACAUUGUCUUCAACUUCCUCGGUAAUGGAAUGGCCAUCAAUGGUGGAAAUUGCAUCAACUUAUUUUCAGACAUUUCUUCCGGCUCCUUUGUGGUUAGUUCAUCGAUCUGGUUCUCAGAGUUAUCAAUGA
rnacentral:lncRNA from 1 species